UGGAAACAGAUCAAAGAAACUUGUCGUUUCUCUACAAAAAUAGUUGACGUAAAUUAUAAAUUUAAUUGUCAACCCUAAAAAAUUAAUUUAUCAUAAUUUAAUUAAUAAACUAGUUUGUGUGUCCAUCAAAUUGCCCGUGGAAAUAUUAAAAUGAGCAACAGUGGCCGCAGAUCUGUCAUCAAUCUAACCUAAAGUUCAUUUGUCAAUAAAAAUAAAUUGAAUAUAUCAAGAAUAAGACACGAAUUCGUAAAAAAAAAAACAAUUCAGUCGAUCUAUAGAUAUUUUUAAUAGUCACUCUUCGAUUCGUCCAUUGCCUACUCAAUCAAAGGAAUUUUUUUUUACCUCAACUUCAGUAAGAGGAUAUCGGCGAAUUGAUUGAAGCAGCUGAAAUUUUAUUCUGAUAUCAAUUCGUAAAAAAAAAAACAAUUCAGUCGAUCUAUAGAUAUUUUUAAUAGUCACUCGUUGAUUCGUCCAUUGCCUACUAAAUAAAAGGAAUUUUUUUUACCUCAACUUCAGUAAGAGGAUAUCGGCGAAUUAAUUGAAGCAGCGGAAAUUUUAUUCUGAUAUCAAUAAAAAAAAACGAUUGUGAAGCUCUUCUACUUGAGGCAGGGAUAAAAACUGAGAUCUUCUAAAAUUUUAGUCUGAAAAAUGUAUCAUAGAACAAGACCACAUGCAACUGCAAUUUAAAAAGCCGAAUUUUAUUCCUGAAAAAUUGAUUUUGAAUUUGUUUUUUCAAGACACAAUAAAUUUAUAUGUAUGAAAUCAAAGUGUCAAGAAUCAUUUAUU